GUCAACUACCCCGCCCUGAAGGGCGGAGCUUGCCUGCCUGCCGCGACGCACCUGCCUGCGCCGCGUGCGUCGCGGCAGGCAGGCGCGGCAGGCAGGUGAAAGCAAGCUCGGUUGACCAGGGCAAGCGGUGCAAACCCGCUCCGUGCAUCACAGGUCGUUAAGACCCACUCCGGGAUGCUUCCUCAGUCCCGGACACUGGA
rnacentral:sRNA from 18 species